rnacentral:rRNA from 1 species
UGAACGCUGGCGGCGUGCCUAAUACAUGCAAGUCGAGCGAACGGACGAGAAGCUUGCUUCUCUGAUGUUAGCGGCGGACGGGUGAGUAACACGUGGAUAACCUACCUAUAAGACUGGGAUAACUUCGGGAAACCGGAGCUAAUACCGGAUAAUAUUUUGAACCGCAUGGUUCAAAAGUGAAAGACGGUCUUGCUGUCACUUAUAGAUGGAUCCGCGCUGCAUUAGCUAGUUGGUAAGGUAACGGCUUACUAAGGCAACGAUGCAUAGCCGACCUGAGAGGGUGAUCGGCCACACUGGAACUGAGACACGGUCCAGACUCCUACGGGAGGCAGCAGUAGGGAAUCUUCCGCAAUGGGCGAAAGCCUGACGGAGCAACGCCGCGUGAGUGAUGAAGGUCUUCGGAUCGUAAAACUCUGUUAUUAGGGAAGAACAUAUGUGUAAGUAACUGUGCACAUCUUGACGGUACCUAAUCAGAAAGCCACGGCUAACUACGUG